rnacentral:rRNA from 1 species
GUGAGGAAUAUUGGUCAAUGGACGAGAGUCUGAACCAGCCAAGUCGCGUGAAGGAAGACGGUUCUAUGAAUUGUAAACUUCUUUUGUGCAGGAAUAAAGUGGGUUACGUGUAACCUUUUGUAUGUACUGUACGAAUAAGGAUCGGCUAACUCCGUGCCAGCAGCCGCGGUAAUACGGAGGAUCCGAGCGUUAUCCGGAUUUAUUGGGUUUAAAGGGUGCGUAGGUGGAUUGAUAAGUCAGCGGUGAAAGUUUGCAGCUUAACUGUAAAAUUGCCGUUGAAACUGUCGGUCUUGAGUGCAAAUGAGGUAGGCGGAAUGUGUUGUGUAGCGGUGAAAUGCUUAGAUAUAACACAGAACACCGAUUGCGAAGGCAGCUUACUGGGAUGCAACUGACGCUCAUGCACGAAAGCGUGGGGAUCAAACAGGAUUAGAUACCCUUGUAGUCC